GACAGAGGGUGCAAACGUUGUUCGGAAUUACUGGGCGUAAAGGGCGUGUAGGUGGCCAACUAAGUCCGACGUGAAAUCCCCAGGCUUAACCUGGGAACUGCGUCGGAUACUGGAUGGCUUGAAUCCGGGAGAGGGAUGCGGAAUUCCAGGUGUAGCGGUGAAAUGCGUAGAUAUCUGGAGGAACACCGGUGGCGAAGGCGGCAUCCUGGACCGGUAUUGACGCUGAGGCGCGAAAGCCAGGGGAGCAAACGGG
rnacentral:rRNA from 1 species